AAACUGAUCUUCCCGUGAAGAAGCGGGAAUAUAUAUAUAAGACGAGAAGACCCCAUGGAGCUUUAAACCCAACAGCACCUAUUCUUUUUAAAUCCACUUAUUCUUAUAGUAAGUGCUUGCUUGGUUUUAGGUUGGGGUGACCGCGGAGUAAAAAUGAGCCUCCACGAAAAAAGGCAUAAAAGCCUUAUCAAAGAAUCACACUUCUAUGAAUUAGUAAACUAAUUUUUGAUGAUCCGAUAUUCGAUCAACGAACCAAGUUACCCUGGGGAUAACAGCGCAAUCCACCUCAAGAGCUCCUAUCGACAAGUGGGUUUACGACCUCGAUGUUGGAUCAGGGUACCCCAGUGGUGCAGCAGCUACUAAAGGUUCGUUUGUUCAACGAUUAAAACCCU
rnacentral:rRNA from 1 species